GAGACAAUUUAAAAAUAUACUGCAUUCAAAAGGUCACUGGGUAUACUGUCCAUUGAUAUUAUAGUGAUGUAUUGUGCAAGCUCUCCUCCUCUACUUCUCCCUCCCCUCUUCCUCUCUCUGCUUUUAUUCCUCUCCAUCGCUCUUUUCUCUCCAACUCCCUUUAAUCAAAAGGCACAGUAACCGUCAUUAUUUCUAUCAAACCGAGACGCUUUCUAAAAAUACAGGCUGCACUUGAGAACGGUUUAUUUCUUGUAAAGCGCCUUGUUCGAUCAACGUUAAUGCCCCCCCUUGUCCAUCCUCUUCACUCUCUUAAAAACUCUUCAGGUUUUUCCAACUGAGCGAUUCAGGCUGAGGCGGGCGCAACCGCACUAGAGGGAAAGUCAAGUCGUGCUGGACUGGCGCGAUAUCCUCGCACGGUUCACAACUAAAAGAAGAUCUGACCCGCGUUUAAUCAUGAUUUUAAAUGAUGGAAUAUGCUGAUUUUAAAAGUUGACCAGGGAUUUCUAGUUGUGGGGUGUUUGCGAGGCAUGGCUUUCAUUUUAACUUGCUUAUUUCUGUCUUGUUACAGUGUGAGCAGUGUUUGGGGAAAUCAGCACAGUGAGACCAGUAUCUAUUUGGAUAACAUCACGCGUAUAUUGGAUAGAUUACUGGAUGGCUAUGACAACAGGCUGCGACCUGGAUUUGGAGGUCCAGUUACAGAGGUCAAAACUGACAUCUUUGUCACCAGCUUUGGACCUGUUUCAGAUGUUGAGAUGGAAUAUACCAUGGACGUGUUCUUCCGUCAGACAUGGAUUGACGAGAGGCUAAAAUUCGAGGGCCCCAUCGAGAUCCUGCGGCUCAACAACCUGAUGGUCAGCAAGAUCUGGACGCCAGACACCUUUUUCCGGAAUGGCAAGAGGUCGAUCUCUCACAACAUGACCACCCCCAACAAGCUGUUCCGUAUCAUGCAGAACGGAACUAUCCUCUACACUAUGAGAUUAACUAUCAAUGCAGAGUGCCCCAUGCGUCUGAUGAACUUUCCGAUGGACGGCCACGCCUGCCCGCUCAAGUUUGGGAGUUAUGCUUACCCCAUCAGCGAGAUCGUGUACACUUGGAAGAAAGGUCCUCUGUCGUCUGUCGAGGUGCCACAAGAAUCAUCCAGUUUGCUGCAGUACGACCUCAUCGGCCAGACAGUGUCAAGCGAGCGGCUAAAGUCCAAUACGGGUGAAUAUGUCAUCAUGACCGUCCACUUCCACCUGCAAAGGAAAAUGGGAUUCUUCCUGAUUCAGACUUACAUUCCCUGUAUUAUGACGGUCAUCCUGGCCCAAGUUUCUUUUUGGAUUAACAAGGAAUCAGUUCCAGCUCGGACUGUGUUUGGUAUCACUACUGUCUUGACAAUGACAACACUAAGUAUCAGCGCCCGCCACUCCCUCCCCAAAGUUUCUUAUGCCACGGCCAUGGAUUGGUUUAUUGCCGUCUGCUUUGCCUUCGUCUUUUCCGCCCUGAUUGAGUUUGCAGCCGUCAACUACUUCUCCACGCUGCAGGCCAACCGGGAGCUGCGGAAGGCAGCAGCCAUGAAGGCUGCGGCUCAGGAGGCAGCAGCUACAGCUACAGCUCCGUCUGCAGCCACAGGAAACGACGGAGAGGUUUCCUCAGUGGAUGCCAGUAGUGUGCUGAAGAAGAGGAUGAACUCUGCCCAGCUGUUUGACCGCCCUGCAAAAACAUUUCCCAACCCACCCGUCAACGCGCAAGCCUUCCUGCAGCAGGGUUCAGCUGUACCAGCCAACAAUGUUCUGACAGGAACCAGCAUCAUCGACAAAUACUCUCGCAUCCUCUUCCCUCUGUCGUUUGGCGCCUUCAACCUGGUCUACUGGAUCGUCUAUCUCACCAAGGACACGAUGGAGAUGUCCAGGGAUACCGUCUAAGCCAAGAGUUCGUCUCCAGGAAAUCACACACACACACACACACACACACACACACACACACACACACACACUCAUUUGCAACAACAUUUUUUGGUUCAUUGGCUUAAUUUCCCUCCGCUGAUGGAGUAUGGAGGAUGUGAAGCAAAAUCUUCAAAAGGGUUUUAAUGGUUUUUAUUGGCCUGGUUGUAUAUUUGCUGUCACGUGCACAUGCAUGUGUGAAUUUAGAAGAAAUACAGACACUAAAAGAUGCACACAUGCCACUAACUUAAACUUUGUGUUGUCCAUGAUUUUCAGGGACGUGAUUAUACUGUAUGCCCUAGAUUUCCUAGAGACUGCAAAACAUCAGUGCAUGAUUUAAUGACUGCCAUAAAAUAACUUGAUAUAGCCCAUGAUGAUCCAUCUGGUAAGAUUUCAAGGAAAAAUCACAGAAACUGAGGACACUACACAAGUGUCUGGAAAACCAAGUUUGCUACAUACUUUAUGUUAUCUUGAGAAAUGUUAACUGAAAAGUUGAUGACAGGCAACACACUUAGGUGUUCUAUGAAUGUAAACAUAAUAGUUGUGGCCGUCUUAUAUCAGAUGUUCAUUUAAAAAAAGGAAGAAAACAUCCAGUCAACCCACUACUGUGCAUAUUCUUGCUAGCAUUUCAUACAAUAAGGUCUUUAUGUAUCUUGAAGACAGCCCACAUUUCCCCAGAAAAAUAUUUAGGUCUUUACACACUAUCAUUGUUAUCAUUUUCUUCUUUAUUGUUUCUAUUUGUUCCCGUCUUUUUAAAUGAAGUUAAAGGAUUCCUGCGCUAGUUGCCAAUUAUUUUUUGAGAUGACAGCUCUGGCUUCUGGUUUUCAUUUAAAAAAAGCAGCAAAAAAUAGAAACGUAAACCUAUCAUCAUCAAUUAUACGAAAUGCCAAAACACAUUCAUUAAUGAUCCACUUGUGUGGAUUUGCAUAUGAUUAUACACAGUUUCCAAUUAAGUGGCGACGGUAAUAUGUUAAAGCCAUGUGGUGUCUAUAUAUAAGCUCAUGUAUGUUUGCUUCUUCAUGACAUCCAUCAUCCAUAAGGAUGUCCUCAUUAAGGUGUCUCUUAUUAACACAGGUACCUUUUAAAAUGAGAAAACCUGCACACUGUGCCAAAAGAUUAUGCUAGUCUUGAAAACUGUACACUUCCUCUGGCUGUUUAGCUGUAUUUGAUUUUUCUCACGCAAAAAAAAAAAUUGGCCCUUUUUGUUCUGAUUAAGUCUUAUAUCUAUAGAAGUUAUUGAACAAAAAAUAAUUUAUUUCCUGGUACUUAAAUAUUAUGUUAUAAUUAUUAUUUACCUAUUAUUUUUUCAUUUUUCAUUUUUCAUUACAGUUGGUAAGGAACCUCUUCAUUUGUUGUAAUUGUGUAUUUCUUCUUAGCACUUUAAUUUGUGAACAGACCAGCAUGGUAGAGCUCAGUUCGACACUGACAUAAUAAAAAAAAAAAAAAAUGCAUGAUUAAAACUUUACAUCAUAACAUAGUUUAUCAAGAAUAAAAAUAUGCAAUGCAAUAAAUGUAAUGCAAUAUAAACUCUGGUUGGACUCCAAGGUUGGGAUCCAUUGCUCAUAACCGUAUUUGGAAGUUGCAAAGCUUUCAGGAACUUGCAAACAAGCAACUCUCUCGCCAGACAAGAACAUCAAUAUUGGACAAUUCUGCAAAACCUCAGAACACAUCCAGUGCCAAGGAUUUUAAAUCGUUGCUUUUUACAAUAUUUGCACACCGCACGGCAGCAAUGGUAUGACUAUGGUAUGGUUAGAGUUAGGCUACUCAAACAUAAAAGUUUAAUUGCAGGUAUGUGACAGGAUGCAAACUCCAGUCUUUGUUAUGAAAACCUGUGCAGGGUUUGGACUCAUGAGUGUACUUAAAAUUUUUGGUCAGUUAACACUGAAAUGAUGUCUAACUGUUGCCUAGUGUUGUCAAUUAUGAAGCGCAAAGGAUUUGUUUAUUUUAAGGCCUGCUGUUGCAUGUUUCUUUCACUUGUACACCAGAGGACUAAAAUAAUAGAGGUGUGAGACUGUAUGAACUGUCUUUGUAUCCUCCCUCUCUCUACUUCAUUCACCACCCUCCUCCUCUCUGUCUAUGAGGUGGAGGCUGAUGAGAUGGGGCAUCUCAGCCCUUAUUGCCCUGUAUUGUCAGGCUCUAUUGUUGGGGAAAACCUGACUGCCAGUGAACUCAGACUGCUACAGAACUGCUGGCUCAACCCCAAUGGAGCCUCAGAACACCAACGACCUCCCACCUCCAGCUGUGACUGAGUGUGUUUCUGCAGAAUAAACUUCAAGUCAAAUAAUCAGACAGAAAUAAGCUGCACUGAGAGAGUGUGUAUGGAUGUGUGUGCGUGUGUGUCUUUUUUUUUUUUUUUUUUUACAUGACCGAGCUCAUUUGCUUUUAUCAGCGACCCAAUUGAUCUGCCCUCUGACCCCAGCCUAGCUGCUCAGCUCCAUCACAGCACAGCAAGGACCGCACUCGCAUGACCUCCGACCCUAUAUGUGCUUGUUAGGGUUGUUGAAUGUAGACGGUUGUGAGCUCCAUAGAAUAUAGAAUUCUAUUGCUAUGGUGACUACGACCAUAAACCGCCCUUUCGUGAUUUCAUUUCAUUCCAUAGGCAUGGGCUUUAUUGAUUCUUUCAUUUAGCCAGUGUUAAUCCCUUUUUCUUUUUCAUUUCUGCACUGUCAUUUCCCCGAGAAAAUGAAGGGACAAUUUAGAAGACAAUGAAUGCUCUACAUUGUUAUUUUAUGUGUAUAUUUUGUGAAUAUGAUUAAGUAUUUCUGUAGGUUGAUAUUUGUAUUCCAACUGUAUGACCCUGCUUGACGAUCAGCUGCACUGUAUUAACCAUUUGUACUGGUUUGAAUGACUUUUGUAUUUUAGCAGUUUAGAUCCUCCACAUUUGUUCCUUGUACACAUUACUCUCCAUUAGUUUUUCCUGUCAUGGGGGUGUCCUGUUUUUAUUGCAACAGAAAACAGUAGUUAAUAAAUGAACCCCCUACUUUCCCCA